GGAAAUGUUCACGACGUUCCCGUAUGUUAACGUUAAUGAACAUUGUCCCCAUUGCAGAAAUUUUAAAGAGCUAGAGAGCUUUAACCUUCGGCCUCGGAUUACACUUUUUGGACACCGGUUUAUUUGGAAAAGACAAACCUCAACCUCUGGAUUUAAAGGAUGAAAACAAACAGGGACAAUUUACUACGCUGGAAUCAUCAUUAACAGUGAGGAUCAGCUGUGAGACCAAGACUGGAUUUCCACUGCAGGCCGCCGUACCGGGCUUAGCCACUUGAAAAUGCAGUCCAACACAUUCGCCAUGUUCGACUCAGACGAUGGUUCGGAAACCAUCGAAGAGUUGCGGGUUGAAAUUGGCCGAUUGAAAGAGGAACUUGCUUUGGCCAGCAAAGAGAAAAUACAGGCUGCUGAAUACGGUUUGGGUGUGCUAGAAGAAAAACAGUCGAUUAAACAGCAAUAUGAAGAUCUGGAUUUACUCUAUGAAACUUCUAAACAGGAGCUUCAGAUGGCAAAAGAGGCCCUGGAAUCGAAAGCUCAGUGGCAGCGGCGUUACUCAGAACAAGAAGUUAACCAUGAACAGAGUCUCCUGCAAGAGAGUGCCACCCGUGAGGCGGACCUCACCGAACGGCUGGCUGAGCUGGAGACCGAGGGGCGUCACAUGAGGCAGGAGGUGAGCCGGCUCCGGGUGGAGAAGGAGAGGCUUUACUCCAGGCACACUGAGAUGAACACCUCCCUCGAGCAAUCAGAUAAAGAACGAAAGGAGGUGAAAGAAGAACUGAGGGAGAUUAAGUUCAGGGAGAAGCGUCUUCUAAGAGACUACAGUGAGCUGGAAGAAGAGAAUAUUGCUAUGCAGAAACAGAAUUCGUCUCUGAAGUCAUCCCAGAUAGAAUACGAGUCUUUCAAACAUGAGAAUCGACGUCUUGCAGAGGAGAUCCAGUACCUGAAUUCCAACAUUGAAGACCUGAUGCGAUUGCGAGACAUCUCCGAGAAGCAGAUUGAAGAAACCAUGCAAGCCUUAGAGUGUGAAAGAGAUCAGAAACAUCAACUCAAGAAGCAACUAGAUCAGGCUAUGAUCUCGGAACUGGAAGCUAUUAAUGUGGAUCUGGAAAAUAAUUCUCAGUUCCAUUACAUGGAAGAGGACUAUGAAGAUGAAGAAUGUGUUGGUCAUCCUCUACUCCGGCGUUAUGAACGACAGAUGAGAGAUGACAACGGAGGAGAAGAAGAAACCAAUAUUGGUCAAGAAGCAUCGGAUUUGUUCAGUGAACUGCAAUCCAUGGAGGUGCAGAAUUUGGAGAAGCAGCUCAAACAAGUUGAAAGUGAAAAGAGUGAACUAUCAAAGCACUUGGAGAAAUCCAACUCAGAGCUGGAGACAACCCGCGAUGCCCUCUCGAGCUUAUCUGAUCUCAACAUAUCCCCAACAGAAGGUGAAAUAGAUCACUCUCAGUAUCAGCAUCUUGAUGAAGCCCAUCAAAAACUCUACCAACUGGUGAGUCUUUACAAGAUCCAAGAGAAGAAAUACGCUGGUGUGCUAAGUAAGAACAAGGAUUUGCAAAGUGAACUGGAGGCGUUGAGAUCUAAAGUUAGUGAUGCAGGGGCAAAGGUCGAGCUACAGAAGGAGGUUCAACUCAUGACUGACAGGAACAGGAAACAACAAGAUACAAUAAGAGAUCUCCAAGGACAGCUCAAAGGCAUCCAUGACAUGGUAGGAGAUGCGCACGGCCAACUUAACUUAACUCAAGAUGAAUUGGCUAAAGUAAGUGAAGACAUUGCUCAGCUCUACCAUCAUGUGUGCAUGGUAAAUGGGGAGGCUCCUAAUCGCAUCAUGCAAGAUCACCUCAAGGUCACCAGGCAGAGCAGGAGAGACGGCUUCCGUGCUGAGAUUGCUAACCAACUCAAAGAAGUAUCAAACGAAAAUGGCCAAGAGAAAUCAGGAGACGGUUUGGGUGCCGCUUCUCCUUCCGGUAGUCCUUCCAAACGAUCCAAUGAACAUGCCAAAUUUAAUGGAGACACUGUUACAUGUACAACCCUGGUCUCAACCGUCAGAGACCAGAUCAAAUACCUGAAGCGAUCUGUGGAGCAGUCAGUAGAAAUGUCCAGGCAACAUGGCACUGAAGGUAGUGGUGCUGAGAAUGAAGAUUUGCGUGACGAGGUUGUUCAACUGAAGGGUCUUCUCAUGACCAAACGUGAGCAGGUGGUCACACUCAGGACUGUACUUAAAGCCAAUAAAACGACUGCAGAAGUAGCUCUUGCAAACCUCAAAAGCAAAUAUGAGCAUGAGAAAGCUAUAAUCGCAGAGACAAUGAAAAAGUUGAGGAAUGAACUGAAGGCCCUCAAAGAAGAAGCUGCUAGUUUUGCUAGCCUCCGUGCCAUGUUUGCCAAGCGAUGUGAUGAGUAUGUGACGCAACUAGAUGACAUGCAUCGUCAGCUAUCGUCUGCAGAGGAGGAGAAGAAGACCCUGAACUCACUCCUGAGGAUGGCCAUCCAGCAGAAGCUUGCCCUGACACAACGCCUUGAGGAUCUAGAGUUCCAGAACGAGAUGAGCAGCAAUCGUAGAGGUCCUCGCAAACACAAAUCCUCCAAACGUCAUUCCAAGGGGAAACUACCGGUACUCUGAGGCUAAGUACCCACCAAAGACCUUUAUCUUUUUAAAUGACCAAUACAUCGUUAAAUAAAAUAGUUGAGGAAGGUGGAGCCCAGAGCCUACAAGGAGCUAGUGAUAAGAUAGGAGGAGUUUCUCAACCAAAGUCUACAUGGAACCUGUAGCUGAGGGAGUUUGUUGUCAACAGUCUACAUGGAACCCAUUAUGAGAUAGAAGGAGCUCCUAAGCUGCAAUCUACAUGGAGCCACUUAUGGUACAGAAGGAGGCCCUAACACAAAUUCAACGUGGAUCCUGUAACAAGAAAUAAUUAGCUUCAAAGCCAGUCUACAUGGAGCUGGUAAUAGAAGGAGCUUGUAGUCCACAUGAAGCCCAUUAUGAGAUAGAAGGAGCUCAUAAGCUGCAAAUCUACAUGGAACCCCGUGUGAUACAGAAGGAGGAGGCCUUCCAGUCUGCAUGGAGCCUGCUAUGAAAUAAAAAAAAAGCUCUUUAACCAAAGUCUACUGAGACUCAUUGUUAUGGUCCAUGGUCUUUGCAAACCUUGUGAUCCAACUAUAACUGGAAUUUAAAGGAAAUUUCAAAAGGAUGAGAUCUAAUAAUAUUUCAAUUUCUUAAAAAUCCAGUAAUAGUCAGCUUGUAAGGUUUUGUCUGUUAGCUGAGGAAUAGAUGGGAUAAUCUGUAUUCAUUUCUAGAUUUUACAUUGGUGCUAGUGCUUACAUUUUUAAACUGUCAUAAAUUAUAUAUUAUUUAUUCAUUAUUCACAUUAUUUAUAUAAACUAUAAAGUCAUAAAAGUGCAAACAUGACACUUUUGGUAAUUAAAAAAAAAAAAUUACUGCUACAUUUUCACAUGCCUCUGACAUGACCUCACAAAAAAAGAAAGAUGAAACCUCAGAGCUAACUGACAGUUUUAUUACAUUUCUGUUGCACUAUAAAUUAAAGUGGAUAUUCACACAUCAUGAUCUUGAAAUUGGUAUCAUGUAGUCAAAUACUUUCAUUUUUGAUCUCUAAAAACAUUAAUCAGUUGAACGAAAAUAACUUACUCAAUUACAAAUCCCUGACACGAAUGUUGUCUCACAUACUCAGGAAAAAAUGUUUAUUUUCAAAUGGAGUUCUUUUUCAUAGAUUAUAUUCUACUAACAUUGAUUUUCAUCUUUUGGGGCUUUUUAAAAUUCCAACUAUACAUGACCCUUAUGAAAUGAACUUGCAUACCGGUAUAUGAUUACCAAAAAAGUUCCUUUUAUCACAUAAGAUGAUAUGAUGAGAUAUUAACCAUUUUUGCACAUAGGGGUUUUUAAAUAUUUUAUUUUAUCCUCUCUUUACCCUUUUCAUAUAAAGUGUUUGCAUAUAGUCAAUAUUGAUAAAGUGGGUAAAGUGAUUUUGACUAUGGUUGUGUAAAUUUUGUAUAUUUUUAUACCAAGAUACACAAGCAGUGUGUAAAAUUUUAAUGCAAAAAAUAUUUUGGUUUGCUUAAAGGCUUUGGUAAUCAAGAAAGCUUUAAAGUUAGGAAACAAAACAGGGUGUGAAGUGGUGUGUUUGAUUGUUUCUGAUGUGCUAGUGGAGCUUAGAUUAAUCCCAGUCACAAAAAGAAGGCAAAAAUGUUGGAGGGGAGUUCUUUUUUGCCUUUUUUCUGCAAUAAGACAAAUGGCUCUUGUUCGAGUCAGCGCAGCAAGUUUAUUAUCUUUAUUAUUUUCAGAGUUUGACUGCAAUGGAAAUCUAGGGAUGAGAAGUAUCACAUGAUGUGAUUUGUGUAAUGGGAAUGCUGGAAGGGACAUAAAAUUUGUCACUUCAACCAGCUCUCACUCUUCCUCUUUCUGAUUGUGACAUUGUGCUGUAAUUAAAGGCCUACCCGUAUGGUUUAAAAUGUGCUAUCACAGUCAGACAAACCUGUGACAUUUUUGUGUUAAUAAUUUUAUCCUCGCCAUAUUGUGCCUCAUGUUUUUGUUUCCAAGAGCAGAAUCCGUCUUGUAAUUUUGUUUGUACACACGUCUAGCUGUUUGUAGUGUUUGUAUUUGGUUUGAAGAAGGAGGAAAC